ensembl:ncRNA C34G6.9 ncRNA
UUGUCUCUUGUUGUCAAAGCUUUCAAACCGAAUGAAAUUGAAAAAAAAAGAAAAGAAAUCGUUGGAAUGGACAUCAACCCAAAUGGGAUACCAGGCGGAAACGAGAAGUGAAAGAAAAAUUGGGAUGCAAAGAAAAAUCAACAAAGUCUAAAAAUGGUACUGAAAAUGAGCCUGAGCAGAUUUGCCAAAAUAACUUCAAGUUUACCAAAAUCCACGUCAUUAUAUUUAAUAUCUACUCGUCCAAAUACGAUUACUACGAAAAGGAAUCCAACGAGAGGCGGCGACUUAUCUCCCGUCAAUUCCGGGGGAGGCAAUGGGGGUGAAGGUCACUGUAUAUAAACGUUUCGGAUCAG